GUUUUUAAACUAAGCCAAAAGUUCACUUUUUUACAUUUUACACAUUAGAAAUCAGAACCCCAUAAACGGAUAAAUAACUUCUCAUCAAUCAACAGAGUAGAAAUAAAUAAUUAAUCAAAGCCCAGAAUCCCUAGCUAUUACAAAUUUAUUCUUCCUUUCUAAGGAAACAGUCAAACUCAAAUAAAUAGAGAUGAUUAUGAAGAGCAAUUCAAUCACUGAAAUCUGCUCGGAGUUGAAGAUAACACGAAACUAUCAGAAGAAACUAACGCAUUUACACAGACAAAAAUGAUAAAAUUAAGAAUCUGAGAAACAAAAAAAUUGAAAAUACAAAUCUUUAAAGCACCUAAAAUCAAACAACGAAAUCGAAAUAAUACCUGCCCUCUACUAACAAUGGGGCCAAGCUUGCAACCUUCUUCCAAGGGAUCUGAAAUUCUACCGCAAUACUUUCCUGUCAAACAAAUAACAAGCUUCGACUGGUCAUGAAUUGGAAAUAGAAAUAUAUAUAUAUAUAACAAAAUUGACGAAGACAUGCUACAGGCUUAGUUCAAGAACUCAUGAUAGCAAAAUCUAAGGUGUUCCCUUCUUGGAUCUAAGGUGUGACAUGCUACAGGCCAAAAGAAGACUAAACAAAGGUCUCAACUUUGAAACGCAGAAAACAAAGGUCGUUCUUCACAUUCAAAGGUCGUUCCUAUACAAGAAGAGUUAUGAAGUUAUGAGAAAGGAGAAAUAGAAUCAUGUUUUAGGAGCUCAUCAUAAAAAAAGAAAAUGUACCCUUUGAGGAGAUGAAGAUGAAGGGCAAAUGGAUGCUUGAUUUGGGGAUAAAUGUUGGAAGAAAUCUGGAGCAGAAUUUUAGGGAGAAGAAAGCAAGCUAUUUUGGUCCCAAAAUGUGAAAAUGUAUUCGGCG
rnacentral:lncRNA from 1 species